rnacentral:rRNA from 1 species
UACGUAGGGGGCAAGCGUUGUCCGGAUUUAUUGGGCGUAAAGAGCGUGUAGGCGGUUUGGUAGGUCCGCUGUGAAAACUCGAGGCUCAACCUCGAGACGCCGGUGGAAACCAUCAGGCUAGAGUCCGGAAGAGGAGAGUGGAAUUCCUGGUGUAGCGGUGAAAUGCGCAGAUAUCAGGAAGAACACCCGUGGCUAAGGCGGCUCUCUGGGACGGUACUGACGCUGAGACGCGAAAGCAUGGGGAGCGAACAGG